UACGUAGGGUGCGAGCGUUAUUCGGAAUCACUGGGCUUAAAGCGCGUGUAGGCGGGAUGGCACGUCCGUCGCUGAAAUCCCCCGGCUCAACCGGGGAACGGGCGCGGAUACGACCAGCCUGGAGGGGCGUAGGGGGACCUGGAACUUCCGGUGGAGCGGUGAAAUGCGUUGAGAUCGGAAGGAACGCCCGUGGCGAAAGCGAGGUCCUGGACGCCUACUGACGCUGAGACGCGAAAAGCCAGGGGAGCGAACGGG
rnacentral:rRNA from 1 species